GCUCCGAUGGUCUAGUGAUUAGAGCGUCUGCCUCCGAUGCCGGAGGUCGCGGGCUCGAACCCCGGCCGGGUCA